GGACUGUCUUUGUCAAAGGGAGAUGUUAGAGCCGAAUGCCACACUCCCCCUGGGAAGGGAAAACACAUGCGUAGGACGAUGACUCACGUACAUGUCUGUGGAACCUCUGGGGCUGGAGUCCACCCCAGAAGAGCUCAUGAUGCCCUGUGUGGGAACACGCCUUUUCCUAUCUUAUUUUUUAAAAGGGGGCCAUUUCCAGCCCCUUGAUAACAACAGAUGGGAACAAAUCUACGAAUCCAAUGUAUUUGAUCUUAAGUCUCUUUCUUUCACAGCGAGUUAAAAGGCGAACCAACAUGCUGUCUUCUACUCUAAAAGGCAAUUGCUAAAUUUGGAUUUUGGGGGAAAAAAAAUUUUGUACUCCAGCUUGAAAAUCCAAUGGCUCUCGGAAAGCAAGUAAGAUAUACCACUCUUUGUGCUAAAAUCAUCUUAACUGGUUUAAAAUAAAUCAGAACAAAAUGAUGUGAGCUGAACAUAUGUCUUCCAUCACUUGUUUUCAGAAGGCAGCGGUGGGAUGAGCCACAGCGCGUGGACCCGUGUGCCAUCCGGAGAGUGGACUGGACCCGGAUUGGGCAUUGGACACAGGUUACCAGU